AAACUAACAAGGAUUCCCUUAGUAACGGCGAGUGAACAGGGAAAAGCCCAAAUUUGUAAUCUGGCUCUUUUUAGAGUCCGAGUUGUAAUUUUGAGAACUGUUUUCCGUGCUGGACCAUGUACAAGUCUGUUGAAAAACAGCAUCAUUGAGGGUGAAAAUCCCGUUUAUGAUAUGGACUACCAGGACAAUGUGAUACAGUCUCUAAGAGUCGAGUUGUUUGGGAAUGCAGCUCAAAGUGGGUGGUAAAUUCCAUCUAAGGCUAAAUAUAGGUGAGAGACCGAUAGUAAACAAGUACCGUGAGGGAAAGAUGAAAAGAACUUUGAAAAUAGAGUUAACAGUACGUGAAAUUGUUAAAAGGGAAACAUUUGAAGUUAGACUUGUUAUUAUUAGUUCAGCCUUUUUAUUAAGGUCUAUUCUGAUGAUUAACAGACCAGCAUCAAUCUUUGAGUGUUGGAUAAGGGUUUUAGAAAUGUAGCAGCCUCUGGUUGUGUUAUAGUCUGAAACUUUGAUACAAUGCUUGGGAUUGAGGGAACGCGCAGUAAGCUUAGUGUCAGAUUUUUACUUGUAAAGAUCUCCUUACAA
rnacentral:rRNA from 1 species